rnacentral:rRNA from 1 species
UGGGGAAUCUUGCACAAUGGGGGCAACCCUGAUGCAGCGACGCCGCGUGAGCGAUGAAGCCCUUCGGGGCGUGAAGCUCUUUCGACCGGAACGAUAAUGACGGUACCGGGAGAAGAAGCUGCGGCUAACUACGUGCCAGCAGCCGCGGUAAUACGUAGGCAGCAAGCGUUGUUCGGAGUUACUGGGCGUAAAGAGUGCGUAGGCGGUUUUCUAAGUUCGGUGUGAAAUCUCCCGGCUUAACUGGGAGGGUGCGCCGAAGACUGGGAAGCUGGAGUGUGGGAAAGGCAGGCGGAAUUCCUGGUGUAGCGGUGAAAUGCGUAGAUAUCAGGAGGAACACCGGCGGUGUAGACGGCUUGCUAGACCAUAACUGACGCUGAGGCACGAAAGCGUGGGUAGCAAACA